rnacentral:snRNA from 1 species
AUACUUACCUGGCAGGGGAGAUACCAUGAUCACGAAGGUGGUUUUCCCAGGGCGAGGCUUAUCCAUUGCACUCCGGGUGUGCUGACCCCUGCGAUUUCCCCAAAUGUGGGAAACUCGACUGCAUAAUUUGUGGUAGUGGGGGACUGCGUUCGCGCUCUCCCCUG